CUGCCCUGUACAGGGGGAUAACAGUUGGAAACGGCUGCUAAAACCGCAUAACAUGGAGAUACCGCAUGAUAUUUCCAUCAAAUAUUUAUAGGUACAGGAUGGGCCCGCGUCUGAUUAGCCAGUUGGCAGGGUAAUGGCCUACCAAAGCGACGAUCAGUAGCCGGCUUGAGAGAGUGACCGGCCACAUUGGGACUGAGACACGGCCCAAACUCCUACGGGAGGCAGCAGUGGGGGAUAUUGCACAAUGGGGGAAACCCUGAUGCAGCGACGCCGCGUGAGUGAAGAAGUAUUUCGGUAUGUAAAGCUCUAUCGGCAGGGAAGAAAAAAAUGACAGUACCUGACUAAGAAGCCCCGGCUAACUACGUGCCAGCAGCCGCGGUAAUACGUAGGGGGCAAGCGUUAUCCGGAUUUACUGGGUGUAAAGGGAGCGUAGGCGGCCAUGCAAGUCAGAAGUGAAAACCCGGGGCUCAACCCUGGGAGUGCUUUUGAAACUGUGCGGCUAGAGUGUCGGAGGGGUAAGUGGAAUUCCUAGUGUAGCGGUGAAAUGCGUAGAUAUUAGGAGGAACACCAGUGGCGAAGGCGGCUUACUGGACGAUGACUGACGCUGAGGCUCGAAAGCGUGGGGAGCAAACAGGAUUAGAUACCCUGGUAGUCCACGCCGUAAACGAUGA
rnacentral:rRNA from 1 species